rnacentral:rRNA from 1 species
UACGUAGGGGGCGAGCGUUAUCCGGAGUUACUGGGCGUAAAGCGCACGCAGGCGGUCGUGCAAGUUUGGGGUUACAGCUCCCGGCUCAACUGGGAGAGCGCCUCGAAGACUGCGCGACUGGAGGGCCACAGAGGGACACAGAAUUCCGGGUGUAGUGGUGAAAUGCGUAGAUAUCCGGAGGAAUACCAAAGGCGAAGGCAGUGUCCUGGGUGGCACCUGACGCUCAGGUGCGAAAGCUAGGGGAGCGAACGGG